CUACGGGCGGCACCAGCGGGGAAUAUUGCACAAUGGGCGAAAGCCUGAUGCAGCAACGCCGCGUGAGGGACGACGGCCUUCGGGUUGUAAACCUCUUUUAGCAGGGAAGAAGCGAAAGUGACGGUACCUGCAGAAAAAGCACCGGCUAACUACGUGCCAGCAGCCGCGGUAAUACGUAGGGUGCAAGCGUUGUCCGGAAUUAUUGGGCGUAAAGAGCUCGUAGGCGGUUUGUCGCGUCUGCUGUGAAAAUCCGAGGCUCAACCUCGGACCUGCAGUGGGUACGGGCAAACUAGAGUGCGGUAGGGGAGAUUGGAAUUCCUGGUGUAGCGGUGGAAUGCGCAGAUAUCAGGAGGAACACCAAUGGCGAAGGCAGAUCUCUGGGCCGUAACUGACGCUGAGGAGCGAAAGCGUGGGGAGCGAACAGGAUUAGAUACCCUAGUAGUC
rnacentral:rRNA from 1 species